rnacentral:rRNA from 1 species
UAGGGAAUAUUAGAAAUGGACGAAAGUCUGAUCUAGCAACACCGCGUGUGCGAUGAAGGCCUUCGGGUCGUAAAGCACUUUUUGGAAGGAAUAGGAAGGAAUGUACUUCCAGAAUAAGUCUCGGCUAACUACGUGCCAGCAGCCGCGGUAACACGUAGGAGGCAAACGUUAUCCGGAUUUACUGGGCGUAAAGCGCGUGUAGGUGGUACUGUAAGUAGGGCGGGAAAGCUCCUGGCUCAACUGGGAGAGGCCGUUCUAAACUACAGAACUAGAGGAUGGUAGAGGGAUGUGGAAUUCCAGGUGUAGCGGUGGAAUGCGCAGAUAUCUGGAGGAACACCGGUGGCGAAGGCGGCCUCCUGGACCAUUCCUGACACUCAGACACGAAAGCUAGGGUAGCAAACG